rnacentral:rRNA from 1 species
UACAGGGGGGGCAAGCGUUGUUCGGAAUUACUGGGCGUAAAGGGUUCGUAGGUGGCUACCUAAGUCAGACGUGAAAUCCCUCAGCUUAACUGGGGAACUGCGUCUGAUACUGGGUGGCUUGAGUGCAGGAGAGGAACGCGGAAUUCCAGGUGUAGCGGUGAAAUGCGUAGAUAUCUGGAGGAACACCGGUGGCGAAGGCGGCAUCCUGGACCGAGAUUGACGCUGAGGCGCGAAAGCCAGGGGAGCAAACGGG